rnacentral:rRNA from 1 species
CAGCAGCCGCGGUAAAACGAAGGGGGCAAGCGUUGUUCGGAAUUAUUGGGCGUAAAGGGUGCGUAGGCGGCUUGACAAGUCUUGUGUGAAAUCUAUGGGCUCAACCCACAGUCUGCACGGGAAACUGUCGGGCUUGAGAAUGGGAGAGGUGAGUGGAAUUUCCGGUGUGGCGGUGAAAUGCGUAGAUAUCGGAAGGAACACCUGUGGCGAAAGCGGCUCACUGGACCAUUUCUGACGCUGAUGCACGAAAGCUAGGGGAGCAAACAGGAUUAGAUACCCCCGUAGUCCCUGUCUCUUAUAA